rnacentral:snRNA from 1 species
UACUCUUACGGGAAACAUUACUUGAAUAAAUGUGUGAUUUAUCUGUUCUUAUCAGCUUAAUAUCUGACACGCUCUCCAACAGAGAGCCAGAAUAUUAAACUGAUUUUUGUGACCAGGCCGAUUUUCGGAGCUCGCUCCGGCUCCGCCGCGGGUUGAGCCGGCAUUGCAGUGCCGCUGGGACUCAGCAGUCGCACC